rnacentral:rRNA from 1 species
UACGAAGGGUGCAAGCGUUAAUCGGAAUUACUGGGCGUAAAGGGUGCGUAGGCGGCUGUUUAAGUCUGUCGUGAAAUCCCCGGGCUCAACCUGGGAAUGGCGAUGGAUACUGGGCAGCUAGAGUGUGUCAGAGGAUGGUGGAAUUCCCGGUGUAGCGGUGAAAUGCGUAGAGAUCGGGAGGAACAUCAGUGGCGAAGGCGGCCAUCUGGGACAACACUGACGCUGAAGCACGGAAGCGUGGGGGGCAAACAGG